rnacentral:rRNA from 1 species
AGCAGGAGGGACCACCCUCCAAGGCUAAAUACUACCUAGUGACCGAUAGCGUAUAGUACCGUGAGGGAAAGGUGAAAAGAACCCCGGGAGGGGAGUGAAAUAGAACCUGAAACCCUGCACUUACAAGCUGUGGAAGCACAUUUCUUGUGUGACCGCGUACUUUUUGUAGAACGGGCCAACGAGUUACGUUAAGUAGCAAGGUUAAGCACUUAAGGUGUGGAGCCGUAGCGAAAGCGAGUUUAACUGAGCGUUCAGUUACUUGACGUAGACCCGAAACCGGGCGACCUACCCAUGAGCAGGAUGAAGCGAAAGUAAAAUUUCGUGGAGGUCCGAACCCACGAGCGUUGAAAAGCUCGGGGAUGACUUGUGGGUAGCGGUGAAAUUCCAAUCGAGCCCGGAGAUAGCUGGUUCUCCCCGAAAUAGCCUUUAGGGCUAGCCUCAAGGUGAGAGAUACGGAGG